GACGAACGCUGGCGGCGUGCUUAACACAUGCAAGUCGAACGGUGACGAGGAGCUUGCUCCUCCGAUCAGUGGCGAACGGGUGAGUAACACGUGAGUAACCUGCCCCAGACUCUGGGAUAACAGUUGGAAACAGCUGCUAAUACCGGAUACGAGACGGAGAGGCAUCUCUACCGUCUGGAAAGUUUUUCGGUCUGGGAUGGACUCGCGGCCUAUCAGCUUGUUGGUGAGGUAAUGGCUCACCAAGGCGACGACGGGUAGCCGGCCUGAGAGGGCGACCGGCCACACUGGGACUGAGACACGGCCCAGACUCCUACGGGAGGCAGCAGUGGGGAAUAUUGCACAAUGGGCGAAAGCCUGAUGCAGCGACGCCGCGUGAGGGAUGACGGCCUCGGUUGUAACCGUACUUCUAGCAGGAGAAGACGAAAGUAGACGGUACUGCAGAAGAAGACACCGGCGUAACUACGUAGCCAGCAGCCGCGGUAAACGUAGACGU
rnacentral:rRNA from 1 species